rnacentral:misc_RNA from 1 species
UUUCCGUAGGUGAACCUGCGGAAGGAUCAUUACAGAGUUCAUGCCCUCACGGGUAGAUCUCCCACCCUUGAAUAUUUAUACCUUAGUUGCUUUGGCAGGCCAUGGAAACACCAUGGGCUCCGGCUUAUGCGUGCCUGCCAGAGGAAACAAACUCUGUUUUUAGUGGUGUCUGAGUACUAUAUAAUAGUUAAAACUUUCAACAACGGAUCUCUUGGUUCUG